rnacentral:rRNA from 1 species
CAGCAGUCGCCACGGUAAUACAGAGGGUGCAAGCGUUAAUCGGAUUUACUGGGCGUAAAGGGCGCGUAGGUGGUUAUUUAAGUGAGAUGUGAAAUCCCCGGGCUUAACCUGGGAACUGCAUCUUAUACUGGGUAACUGGAGUGCAAUAGAGGGUAGUGGAAUUUCCGGUGUAGCGGUGAAAUGCGUAGAUAUCGGAAGGAACACCAGUGGCGAAGGCGGCUACCUGGAUUGACACUGACACUGAGGCGCGAGAGCGUGGGGAGCAAACAGGAUUAGAUACCCCCGUAGUCCCUGUCUCUUAUAC